rnacentral:rRNA from 1 species
AGCGAACGCUGGCGGCAGGCCUAACACAUGCAAGUCGAACGAGGUCUUCGGACUUAGUGGCGGACGGGUGAGUAACACGUGGGAACGUACCUUUUGGUUCGGAACAACUCAGGGAAACUUGAGCUAAGACCGGAUGAGCCCUUAGGGGGAAAGAUUUAUCGCCGAAAGAGCGGCCCGCGUUAGAUUAGCUAGGUGGUGAGGUAAAGGCUCACCAAGGCUACGAUCUAUAGCUGGUCUGAGAGGAUGACCAGCCACACUGGGACUGAGACACGGCCCAGACUCCUACGGGAGGCAGCAGUGGGGAAUCUUGCGCAAUGGGCGAAAGCCUGACGCAGCCAUGCCGCGUGAAUGAUGAAGGUCUUAGGAUUGUAAAAUUCUUUUACCAGGGACGAUAAUGACGGUACCUGGAGAAAAAGCCCCGGCUAACUUCGUGCCAGCAGCCGCCGUAA